GCCUCGAUAGCUCAAUCGGUAGAGCGUGAGGCUCUUAAUCUCAAGCUUGCGGGUUCGACUUCGCCAGAAGGUG